UACGUAGGGUGCAAGCGUUAAUCGGAAUUACUGGGCGUAAAGCGUGCGCAGGCGGCUUUGCAAGACAGAUGUGAAAUCCCCGGGCUCAACCUGGGAACUGCAUUUGUGACUGCAUCGCUCGAGUGUGGCAGAGGGGGAUGGAAUUCCGCGUGUAGCGGUGAAAUGCGUAGAUAUGCGGAGGAACACCGAUGGCGAAGGCAAUCCCCUGGGCCUGCACUGACGCUCAUGCACGAAAGCGUGGGGAGCAAACAGG
rnacentral:rRNA from 1 species